rnacentral:rRNA from 1 species
UCCUGGAAACGGGUGGUAAUGCCGGAUGUGCCGGGCUCCUGCAUGGGGGUCCGGGAAAGCUCUGGCGGCGUGGGAUGGGGUCGCGUCCUAUCAGCUUGUUGGCGGGGUGAGGGCCCACCAAGGCUUCGACGGGUAGCCGGCCUGAGAGGGCGACCGGCCACAUUGGGACUGAGAUACGGCCCAGACUCCUACGGGAGGCAGCAGUGGGGAAUAUUGCACAAUGGGCGCAAGCCUGAUGCAGCGACGCCGCGUGCGGGAUGGAGGCCUUCGGGUUGUAAACCGCUUUUGUUUGGGAGCAAGCCCUUCGGGGUGAGUGUACCUUUCGAAUAAGCACCGGCUAACUACGUGCCAGCAGCCGCGGUAAUACGUAGGGUGCGAGCGUUAUCCGGAUUUAUUGGGCGUAAAGGGCUCGUAGGCGGUUCGUCGCGUCCGGUGUGAAAGUCCAUCGCCUAACGGUGGAUCUGCGCCGGGUACGGGCGGGCUGGAGUGCGGUAGGGGAGACUGGAAUUCCCGGUGUAACGGUGGAAUGUGUAGAUAUCGGGAAGAACACCA